GAUGAAGAACGUAGCGAAAUGCGAUAAGUAAUGUGAAUUGCAGAAUUCAGUGAAUCAUCGAAUCUUUGAACGCACAUUGCGCCCGCCAGUAUUCUGGCGGGCAUGCCUGUUCGAGCGUCAUUACAACCCACAGGCCCCCGGGCCUGGCGUUGGGGAUCGGCGGAGCCCCCCGUGGGCACACGCCGUCCCCCAAAUACAGUGGCGGUCCCGCCGCAGCUUCCAUCGCGUAGUAGCUAACACCUCGCGACUGGAGAGCGGCGCGGCCACGCCGUAAAACACCCAACUCUUCUGAAGUUGACCUCGAAUCAGGUAGGAAUACCCGCUGAACUUAAGCAUAUCAAUAAGCGGAGGA
rnacentral:misc_RNA from 1 species